rnacentral:rRNA from 1 species
AGUCGCCGCGGGAAUACAGAGGGUGCGAGCGUUAAUCGGAUUUACUGGGCGUAAAGCGUGCGUAGGCGGCUUUUUAAGUCGGAUGUGAAAUCCCUGAGCUUAACUUAGGAAUUGCAUUCGAUACUGGGAAGCUAGAGUAUGGGAGAGGAUGGUAGAAUUCCAGGUGUAGCGGUGAAAUGCGUAGAGAUCUGGAGGAAUACCGAUGGCGAAGGCAGCCAUCUGGCCUAAUACUGACGCUGAGGUACGAAAGCAUGGGGAGCAAACAGGAUUAGAUACCCCAGUAGUCCCUGUCUCUUAUACC